AUACGGAGGGGGUUAGCGUUGUUCGGAAUUACUGGGCAUAAAGCGUACGUAGGCGGACUGGAAAGUUGGGGGUGAAAUCCCGGGGCUCAACCCCGGAACUGCCUCCAAAACUUCCAAUCUAGAGAUCGAGAGAGGUGAGUGGAAUUCCAAGUGUAGAGGUGAAAUUCGUAGAUAUUUGGAGGAACACCAGUGGCGAAGGCGGCUCACUGGCUCGAUACUGACGCUGAGGUACGAAAGCGUGGGGAGCAAACAGGAUUAGAAACCCUAGUAGUCC
rnacentral:rRNA from 1 species